UACGGGGGGAGCAAGCGUUGUUCGGAUUUACUGGGCGUAAAGGGCGCGUAGGCGGCCACGACAAGUCACUUGUGAAAUCUCCGGGCUUAACUCGGAAAGGUCAAGUGAUACUGUCGGGCUAGAGUACAGAAGGGGCAACUGGAAUUCUCGGUGUAGCGGUGAAAUGCGUAGAUAUCGAGAGGAACACCUGCGGCGAAGGCGGGUUGCUGGGCUGAUACUGACGCUGAGGCGCGAAAGCCAGGGGAGCGAACGGG
rnacentral:rRNA from 1 species